GGGGUGGGGCAGGCAGCAGAGCAGACACAGGGACAGGAGAAAGGAGACUCGGGUGAGGCCGCGGAGAGACAGCUGGCGGCAGCAGCCUGCGGAGGACGGGAGGAAGCCAUCAGACGGGGCCCAGCUCAGACCAGCACUGUCCAGCCGCUCGCCUGUGAAAAGAAGGCCAGGAAUCUGAUUAGAGGGCGUUCAAGGCCAAAGUUCCAGCCACAGAGAGGGGUCACCGGCUCGCGACCGACGGGUGCACGCCAGCCGGCCGCUCUCAGCCCAUUUCCCAGCAGCUUCGGGAGCCCAGGACGGCGCAAGCAUGGUGAAUCAUUAACCCGCAGAGAGACCAGCAGCUGCAGGACAGCCACCCACCACCCGGCCCAGGCCUCCCUGUGCCCAGCCCACGCCGCCAAGCUGGGCUCGCAGGUGGCCCCUCUGGCCGGCAGGGGAGCUCCAGCCUCGGAUGCCAGGAUCGUGCUCAGCCCCCGCGUUCCAGAACCGGAUCAGCCUGAAGGGUCACAGGCGUGGGCCGGACGCUUCCUGCGCCUGGCUGCCCGGUCACCACGGGUGCCCCAGAGCCACCCCCGCCCCACGGGCCCCACCGAAGGCCGUCCACUCUCUCUCUCUCUCUCGUCUCCCCCUGCGCCGCCCCCGAGCUCUGCGGGGGGGGGGGUGGUAGGGGGGUGGGGAAAGUGGUGGGGGGGGNNNNNNNNNNNNNNNNNNNNNNNNNNNNNNNNNNNNNNNNNNNNNNNNNNNNNNNNNNNNNNNNNNNNNNNNNNNNNNNNNNNNNNNNNNNNNNNNNNNNCCCAGAGCCACCCCCGCCCCACGGGCCCCACCGAAGGCCGUCCACUCUCUCUCUCUCUCGUCUCCCCCUGCGCCGCCCCCGAGCUUGGCCGGUGGGCACGUGGGUGUGAGGGAAGGAAAGGGCUCCGUGGACACAGGUGGCUCCAGAUCGGGGCGGACCCCAAGUGCUCGGAGCAGGGGGCAGUAUCUCCAGGCCUGACAGUGGAGGAGCCCGCCACCGAGCCGCCAGAGCCUCCUCCGGGCUUCCUGGGCCCUGGAGCAACCUUGCCAGGCGCGCCCCGCCUGAGCUCGCCCCACUCCCUCUCUGCACCCCUGAGUCUGAGCGGGGGCACAUUGUCUAGAAGUCCCUGAGGAGGAGGGGCUCAACCCUGGAGGGAAAGCUCCAAACCCUCCUUUUUAAUCAGUGCCUGCUGCAGACUGGCUGCCUGCCUGUCUUCCUUUCCAACCCUAAAGCCUCUGUUUACAAUAGCUGGCUUUCUAAAUAAAAAUAGAAUGCACGUAAAUAGCAAUUGAUUAAUAAUAGCAAACAUCUAUGCAGUGCCUACUAUACCUCAGACCUUAUUCUGAGCACUUUACAAACAUUAAUAUCUAUUCAUCCAAAUUAGGACAAAAACGAGGCCCAGAGGGGAUAAGUGAAGUAGCCCAAGAUCACACAGCUGGUGACCGGCAGAGCCAGGGAAUGAAUCCGGUCCAUGGACCCCGCGUGUGCUCAUUAUAUAACCACCGUGUCCACUGUCUCUCAAAGUCCAAACAACACAGAGGCUGAGGCUGUACAAUGGAAGUCAGUCUCUCGGACUCCCCGGGAGUGACCGCCGUUACACGUUUCUGUGAAUCCUUCCAGAACUAUGCCGUGUGUGCACCAGCCUGUCCAUCCGUGCAGAUGCCUUGCUUCAUCCCGAAGGAAGCACACUGCUCCUUCCCUGCGGUACAACCACUUUUUUCAAAACUCAAGUUUAGUUUAUUUACAGCUCCUCCGGCGUCACUAGGGGUAAAGAACCCGCCUGCUAGUGCAGGAGACUUAAGAGACGCGGGGAUCCCCGGGUCGGGAAGAUGCCCUGGAGGAGGCGCACACGGCCUAUUCACGAUGCUCCGGUGUGCGGCGAGUGACUCAGGCGCACGUGCGCGUGCACACAGACACACAUCUAUUCGUGUCCAGAUUCUUCCCAUUAUAGGUUUCUGCACAACAUCGAGUGGGUCCCUGUGCUACACAGACUGUUAUGUAUUUAAUACACGUGCGUGCGCGUAGGUCAGU
ensembl:lincRNA